GCCACUCACUCACUGCAAUUUCACCUCUGAUACCCCACUAUUUCCCCCCAAAAAUAAAAACUAACCAAACCAAACCAAAAUCAGCGGCGCAGACCAGCUAGAAACCCAUUAAUUAGCCAACAAGAACGGUUUUGACACCACAUGGAGGCGUGAAUCGUCGAAAUCAUGACAGAGAUAAGAAUUUCCAGCGUCUUGAUCACUUAUUUAGACAUAAAAACCUAAAUAGGAAAAUUGAGAGGAAAAAGGAAGGUAAAAAUAAAUAAUGAUGUGAAAGGACAGCAAUGCAGGAG
rnacentral:misc_RNA from 1 species